AGAAAAAAAGGGGUGUUUGUCUAGUUUCUGUUUCCUGUACACUCAUGUACACUUUUCUUUAGAAGCAAACAACUGCAAUGACACGGCAAAAAUAAAAUAUUUGAGACUUGAUGGCAUUCCAAAUACAAUUACCAUUUCCACUUGCGGUGGCAGUUCCUGUUCAAGUUGAGCCAAGAACAACAAGUCCAUUAAUACAAUGCAUAGUUGACAACAAACUGAAGAAACUGAAGAAACUUGUAAGAGGUGUAAAUAUUAACGGACUGUACUCUUCUGCAAUCUGGAAUGAUGACGUUUCUCUACUGACGGCAGCAACUGUAUGUGGGAAUGAGGAGAUUUGUAACUUUCUACUGGGAGAAAAUGGAGAUCCCAACAUAACGUCUGCAAAUGGCCUCACACCUCUGCAUUAUGCUGCCAUUACACCGGGAGUUCCACCGCAUAUUGUGAGAAGAUUAUUAGCUGCAAAAGCUAAUCCAGAUGGUCACAAAGAAUGUUGUUUUACACCAUUACAAUUUGCUGCCAGUAAGGACAGACUGGACAUGUUCCAAGUACUUCUAGAAGCUGGUGCUGACCCUGGAAGAAAUUAUGGGUUUAACUCUGAUUUUGAUAACAAAGUAGAAACUCUUAUUAAUAAUUUACCAGCAGAAAAUGCUGCUGUAAAGAAAUGCAGAAUGUUUUUCAAUUUUACUGCAAUGGUUCCCAAAAAAUCUCAGCCAGAGGUUAUCCAUUUCUUCAAGGAACAUUUUCUUGAGGAACAUCCUAUUAAUCAUCUUGUACUUUUUGAACUAUAUAAUAAUGUAACUGGCAGAUCACAGGAACAAUAUCGGCAAAGUAGCAUAAAGUGGAUGAGAGACUCCAUGAAAUCCGAGAUCUACAUCAAUGGAUUUAUCAAACGCUUUCCCAAAAUUUCAAUGGAACACAGGAUUUUUGCUAUGAGCAGCUUACAUGCUGUAAUUUGCAUGAUGAAAGAAAUAUCCCCUGAGAUAUUUAAUGGGAUCGUACCCAUUGUGAUCAAAUGCUUUCAGCCAACUAAUACAGUGCAGGGAAAUAUAUUUAAUCAUCCUACACUAAGUACUCUUUGUGUGACCAUGGACAAGUUCUCAAAACAAAAACCUGCUGCUGAUGGUCUUAACUAUGUUGUUCUUGAAGAGUUAUGCAAUGCAAUUAUGCCUUUCACCAAUCCUGACUGCUCAACAGAUAUCAGCAUUCUUACUUACCAUUUGUUUGCUGCUCUAUAUGAAUUUGUCCCAGAGCACAUUAAGUCACGUGGAUUAACCUCAGUGCCUGAUGAGGUUCUUUUUGUAGUAGACGUAGGAACAGAUGACGUACUCAAAGAGAAACUGCAAAAACUGGACACAAAUCUCAGAUGUCCUCAAAGCCCAGUGACUGGAAGUAUUUUAGAUGAUGCAGGAGAGAGCAAGUCAUCAACAAAGUCAAAAAAGAAGAAGAAGAAGAAAAAAAAGAAAGCCAUUCAGCAAGAAACAAGCUCAAAAGAUGAUGCUGUACAAGCAUUAAAACUUAAUUCAGAGACUGCAAAAACCUCAGUUCAAGAGUCCACUGUGCGCCCAUUUACAGCAUGCACGGAUGAUAUACCAGUGCCAAGAAAAUGGCAUUCAAUCAGCCAACGCUGGAAGCCCAAACUAGAGAAACUGGCUAGCAUGGAAGCAAGUAACAUUUAUCACCUGGGGAACCUUACCAUUAGUGAAAGCGCAGAAUUUGAGAUAGCUAAAGGAAGUGAUGGAACACGGGUUUUUCUUGGACUGAGGGAUGAUGGCACUGAGGUAGCUGUCAAGCGAAUGUUAAAGUCCAAUUAUCAAGAUUUAAAAAAUGAAGAGGAAUUUCUACGCCUUCCUGAGCUUGACAAUCCUUCUAUUGUCCGAUAUGUGGACUUUGCAGAGGAUGACAAAUUUGGAUAUCUUGUCCUUCAACUUUGUGAAUACACAUUGGAGGAAUACAUUCAGAACCAUUUGCCAGAAGACAGUUCACAGCAGCUAAAGGUCCUGAAGAAAAUUGUAAAAGAAGUGCUCUGUAGCCUGAAGGUUCUCCAGAGCCAAAAUACUAAAGUGCUUCAUCGAGACAUCAAACCUCAAAAUGUUCUGAUUGAUAUAACUGGAAAGGCGAGAUUAGCUGAUUUUGGCAUAAGUCGAAGGCUGAAGUUGGAAGAGACGACUUGCCGCACUAAUGCUGCUGGAACAAAAUGUUGGAAACCCAGCGAAACUGUUGAUGAGGACAGUAACCGUGGCUACAAGAGGAGUUCUGAUAUUCAGGUUGCGGGAAUGUUGAUGUAUUACAUCCUCUCUUGUGGACAUCAUCCAUUUGGCAAAGGUGUCCGGUGUGAACUUAAUAUUUUUGAAGGGAAAUAUUCUUUGGAACACUUGGAGGAUGAACUGGUGAUAGACCUAGUGGAAUGGAUGAUCAGUCAUGAGCCAAAGAACAGACCUAAUGUAGAGGAGACUCUUUGCCACCCAUUUUUUUUGGACAGAUGCAUGGAAAGUGGAGUACUUAAAAAGACUGGGGAAUGAAAAGGAGGUUGUGAACUGCCGCAACGCUGAGCCAGACCUUCUUUCUGCAUUUACAGUGGAGAAAAGCUUCUUAGAGUGGAAAACAAAAUUUCCCUGUGAGCUUGUACAAAAAUUGGAAGGUAAGAAAAAGCCGUAUCCGGAGAACACACUGGGGCUGCUGCGCUUCAUACGGAAUCUGCACGAACAUCACAUUGAGGAUGCAGAGAAGUUCAACUUGAUGACAUUAUUCCCUGACCUUUUUGGAAACGCUUUCAAGUUUGCUAAAAAAAGAGGAUGGAACUCCAGACCAAGUCUGACAAAAUAUUUUGUUACAGUACCAGCAAUUUAACAGGAAAUAACUGAAAAGCAUGAAAUAUUCAGAAAUGUCAUCAGUUUGUGUGUUUGGAUUAUAAGAGAAUAUUUCAUGUUAGAAAUGUGAUUUAUUUUCUGGAGUGCUAAAAUGUGCACUGCAUUGGUGCAGUCAAAUCAGUUCUCACCACUAUGUGUAUAUCAUCUAAAAAUUAUUUAUACUGGGAUACUGGGGGACAUGACCACUUAUAAAAUGUCUAAUUUAUCAGGAUCUGGAGGUUGCUACCAUUUUUUCUUUGGGUUUCUCUGUUUUCUGCACCAGAUGUCACCAUUGUGAAUGUUUUUUAUUAGUUUCCUAUUGUUUCCAUUUGAGCCUUGUUAGCCCUGUGUGUAUUUAAAUUCCCCUUGUGUGGCAAUCAUUUGGCUUUAUUGUUAAAGUUGUGUGGUUUGUUUCCUGUGAUUAUUUUACGUUACUAUUAUUUUAUUUUUUUUGCAUUUCUGAGACAGACUUUUGUUCUUAAGAUUUUUCCUAAGUUCCUGAUGAGUUUUUUUUUUAUUUUUUAUUUUUUUACCUUUUUUGAAUUUUGCCUGUCUUUUGUUUUUCUACUUUGCUGUAUUUUUGGGGACCUACGAUUGUGAAUUAAAUUUUCUCUUUCAUUUUCGUUG